AAUGAACGCUGGCGGUAUGCCUAACACAUGCAAGUCGAACGGCAGCACAGUAAGAGCUUGCUCUUACGGGUGGCGAGUGGCGGACGGGUGAGGAAUACAUCGGAUUCUACUUUUUCUUGGGUGAUAACGUAGGGAAACUUACGCUAAUACCUCAUACGACCUACGGGUGAAAGCAGUGGAUCUUCGGACCUUGCGCGAUUGAAUUAGCCGAUUUCGGAUUAGCUAGUUGGCGGGGUAAAGGCCCACCAAGGCCACGAUCCGUAGCUGGUCUGAGAGGAUGAUCAGCCACACUGGAACUGAGACACGGUCCAGACUCCUACGGGAGGCAGCAGUGGGGAAUAUUGGACAAUGGGCGAAAGCCUGAUACAGCAAUACCGCGUGGGUGAAGAAGGCCUUCGGGUUGUAAAGCUCUUUUGUUGGGAAAGAAAAGCAGCAGGUUAAUCCACCGCUGUUCUGACGGUACCCAAAGAAUAAGCACCGGCUAACUUCGUG
rnacentral:rRNA from 1 species